rnacentral:rRNA from 1 species
GUCCCAGACUCCUACGGGAGGCAGCAGUGGGGAAUAUUGCGCAAUGGGGGGAACCCUGAUGCAGCAAUGCCGCGUGAAGGAUGAAGGUUUUCGGAUUGUAAACUUCUUUUGUACGGGACGAAGAAAGUGACGGUACCGUAAGAAUAAGCCACGGCUAACUACGUGCCAGCAGCCGCGGUAAUACGGAGGAUGCGAGCGUUAUCCGGAUUUAUUGGGUUUAAAGGGUACGCAGGCGGCACGGCAAGCCGGCGGUCAAAUCGCGGGGCUCAACCCCGCCCAGCCGUCGGAACUGCCGGGCUAGAGUGGGCGAGAAGUGCGCGGAAUGCGUGGUGUAGCGGUGAAAUGCAUAGAUAUCACGCAGAACUCCGAUUGCGAAGGCAGCGCACCGGCGCCCUACUGACGCUCAGGCACGAAAGCGUGGGUAUCGAACAGGAUUAGAUACCCGUGUACA